UGGGGAAUUAUGCGCAAUGGGCGAAAGCCUGACGCAGCGACGCCGCGUGGGUGAUGAAGGCCUUCGGGUUGUAAAGCCCUGUGGGGAGGGAAGAAUAAGGCAUGGCUAAUACCCAUGUCGAUGACGGUACCUCCUUAGCAAGCACCGGCUAACUCUGUGCCAGCAGCCGCGGUAAGACAGAGGGUGCAAACGUUGUUCGGAAUUACUGGGCGUAAAGCGCGUGUAGGCGGCCAUGCAAGUCGGGUGUGAAAGCCCUGGGCUUAACCGAGGAAGUGCACUCGAAACUGCAUGGCUGGAGUCCCGGAGAGGAUGGUGGAAUUCUCGGUGUAGAGGUGAAAUUCGUAGAUAUCGAGAGGAACACCGGUGGCGAGGGCGGCCAUCUGGACGGGUACUGACGCUGAGACGCGAAAGCGUGGGUAGCAAACAGGAUUAGAUACCCUGGUAGUCCACGCUGUAAACGAUGGGUGCUAGGCGUCGCGGGCUUUGACCCCUGCGGUGCCGUAGCUAACGCAUUAAGCACCCCGCCUGGGGAGUACGGCCGCAAGGCUA
rnacentral:rRNA from 1 species